rnacentral:rRNA from 1 species
ACGUAGGGUGCGAGCGUUGUCCGGAAUUAUUGGGCGUAAAGAGCUUGUAGGCGGUUCGUCGCGUCCGCUGUGAAAUUUCGGGGCUUAACCCCGAACUUGCAGUGGGUACGGGCAGACUAGAGUGUGGUAGGGGAGACUGGAAUUCCUGGUGUAGCGGUGAAAUGCGCAGAUAUCAGGAGGAACACCGAUGGCGAAGGCAGGUCUCUGGGCCACUACUGACGCUGAGAAGCGAAAGCAUGGGGAGCGAACA